ACCAUAUGUUACGGGUUUCGGCCUGUUUGGUUGCUGGAUGUGUGUGCUGCCGCAGCCAUCGGAGCAAUCGAAACUGCCCUGUCCAACGCUUCGGUACGCAAAGUCGGCUGGCCGUAGGGCCGGACGUCUUGGGGUAAUACUGAGCUGGGGAAAGCGCUAGGGUGGUAACACAGCAGCGAGCACUGGCCGCCGUGGUGAGUGGAAGGACAACAGAGUCGAGCUCUCGGCAGUGUUCGGUACACACACACACGCAACCACU
rnacentral:SRP_RNA from 1 species